rnacentral:rRNA from 1 species
CGACCGGCGCACGGUGAGUAACGCGUAUGCAACUUACCUAUCAGAGGGGGAUAACCCGGCGAAAGUCGGACUAAUACCGCAUAAAGCAGGGAUCCCGCAUGGGAAUAUUUGCUAAAGAUUCAUCGCUGAUAGAUAGGCAUGCGUUCCAUUAGGCAGUUGGCGGGGUAACGGCCCACCAAACCGACGAUGGAUAGGGGUUCUGAGAGGAAGGUCCCCCACAUUGGAACUGGGACACGGUCCAA